AACGCACAUUGCGCCCACCAGUAUUCUGGUGGGCAUGCCUGUUCGAGCGUCAUUUCAACCCUUAAGCCUGUGUUGCUUAGCGUUGGGAGCCUACGGCGUUGUCCCGUAGCUCCUCAAAAUUAGUGGCAGAGCUGGUUUCACACUCUAGACGUAGUAAUCUUUUGUCUCGUCUGUGGUUGGGCCGGUUUCUCGCCGUAAAACACCCCAUCUCUCAAAGGUUGACCUCGGAUCAGGUAGGAAUACCCGCUGAACUUAA
rnacentral:misc_RNA from 1 species